CCUACGGGUGGCAGCAGUGAGGAAUAUUGGUCAAUGGUCGUGAGACUGAACCAGCCAAGCCGCGUGAGGGAAGAAUGUACAGAGUAUCGUAAACCUCUUUUGUCAGGGGACAAAGACUUGGACGCGUCCCCGUUUGCGGGUACCUGAAGAAAAAGCAUCGGCUAACUCCGUGCCAGCAGCCGCGGUAAUACGGAGGAUGCGAGCGUUAUCCGGAUUUAUUGGGUUUAAAGGGUGCGUAGGCGGAAUGGCAAGUUAGCGGUAAAAUCGGGGGGCUCAACCUCGCUCCGCCGUUGAAAAUGGAGUUCUUGAGUGGGCGAGAAGUAUGCGGAAUGCGUGGUGUAGCGGUGAAAUGCAUAGAUAUCACGAAGAACUCCGAUUGCGAAGGCAGCAAACCGGCGCCGAACUGACGCUGAAGCACGAAAGCGUGGGUAUCGAACAGGAUUAGAUACCCCAGUAGUC
rnacentral:rRNA from 1 species